rnacentral:rRNA from 1 species
CGGUUCACCGAGAAAUGGGAGUGGCGAACGGGUGAGUAACACGUGGGUAACCUACCCAUCAGCGGGGGAUAACACUUGGAAACAGGUGCUAAUACCGCAUAAUUCUUUUCUUCGCCUGGAGGAAAGAUGAAAGACGCUUUUGCGUCACUGAUGGAUGGACCCGCGCUGCAUUAGCUAGUUGGUGGGGUAAUAGCUCACCAAGGCCACGAUGCAUAGCCGACCUGAGAGGGUGAUCGGCCACACUGGGACUGAGACACGGCCCAGACUCCUACGGGAGGCAGCAGUAGGGAAUCUUCGGCAAUGGACGGAAGUCUGACCGAGCAACGCCGCGUGAGUGAAGAAGGUUUUCGGAUCGUAAAACUCUGUUGUUAGAGAAGAAUAAGGAUGAGAGUAGAAUGUUCAUCCCUUGACGGUAUCUAACCAGAAAGCCACGGCUAACUACGUGCCAGCAGCCGCGGUAAUACGUAGGUGGCAAGCGUUGUCCGGAUUUAUUGGGCGUAAAGCGAGCGCAGGCGGUUUCUUAAGUCUGAUGUGAAAGCCCCCGGCUUAACCGGGGAGGGUCAUUGGAAACUGGGAGACUUGAGUGCAGAAGAGGAGAGUGGAAUUCCAUGUGUAGCGGUGAAAUGCGUAGAUAUAUGGAGGAACACCAGUGGCGAAGGCGACUCUCUGGUCUGUAACUGACGCUGAGGC